AUUGAACGCUGGCGGCAUGCCUUACACAUGCAAGUCGAACGGUAACGGGCCUUCGGGUGCCGCCGAGUGGCGAACGGGUGGGUAAUACAUCGGAACGUGCCCGAUCGUGGGGGAUAACGAGGCGAAAGCUUUGCUAAUACCGCAUACGAUCUACGGAUGAAGGCAGGGGACCGCAAGGCCUUGCGCGGACGGGGCGGCCGAUGGCAGAUUAGGUAGUUGGUGGGAUAAAAGCUUACCAAGCCGACGAUCUGUAGCUGGUCUGAGAGGAUGAUCAGCCACACUGGGACUGAGACACGGCCCAGACUCCUACGGGAGGCAGCAGUGGGGAAUUUUGGACAAUGGGCGCAAGCCUGAUCCAGCCAUGCCGCGUGCAGGAUGAAGGCCUUCGGGUUGUAAACUGCUUUUGUACGGAACGAAAAGCCUUCUUUUAAUACAGGAGGGUCAUGACGGUACCGUAAGAAUAAGCACCGGCUAACUACGUG
rnacentral:rRNA from 1 species